rnacentral:tRNA from 1 species
GGGGGAAUAGCUCAGUGGUAGAGUGUGUGCUUAGCAUGCAGGAGGUUCUGGGUUCAAUCCCCAAGUAUCUCCA